rnacentral:tRNA from 1 species
GAGGGUAUAGCUUAGUGGUAGAGUGCAUGCCUAGCAUGCACAAGGUCCUGGGUUCAAUCCCCAGUACCUCCA